rnacentral:rRNA from 1 species
UAAACUAGGAUUAGAUACCCUAUUAUUCUUGGAAGAAAAAUAAAUAAGAACUUGAAUAUUAAUAGAUAUGUUCUUUAAAAUCAAAGAAUUUGGCGGUAUUUUAGUCUUGUUAGAGGAACCUGUUCUGUAAUCGAUAAAACACGUAAGAUUUUACUUGCUCUCGUUAUAUCAGUUUGUAUACCGUCAUUAUUAAAUAAUCUUGAAAAAGUUAAUUAUUGGGGUUAGAAGUUUAAGCUAAAUAUAUUAGAUCAAGGUGCAGCUUAUGGGCAAGUAGAAAUGGGUUACAAUAAAAUAUAUUUAAACGAAUUGUAGGUAGAAUUACUUAGAAAGAAGGUGGAUGUAAUUGUAAGAAUAAUUUAAUAAGUUAUUUUGAUAUAAGCUCUAAAUUAUGUACAUAUCGCCCGUCGCUUUCAUUUAAAAUGAAAUAAGUCGUAACAUAGUAGAUGUACUGGAAAGUGCAU